rnacentral:rRNA from 1 species
ACUCCUACGGGAGGCAGCAGUGGGGAAUAUUGCACAAUGGGCGCAAGCCUGAUGCAGCCAUGCCGCGUGUGUGAAGAAGGCCUUUGGGUUGUAAAAGCACUUUCAGUUGUGAGGAAGGUGGUGUCGUUAAUAGCGGCAUCAUUUGACGUUAGCAACAGAAGAAGCACCGGCUAACUCCGUGCCAGCAGCCGCGGUAAUACGGAGGGGUGCGAGCGUUAAUCGGAAUUACUGGGGCGUAAAGCGCAUGCAGGUGGUUUGUUAAGUCAGAUGUGAAAGCCCGGGGCUCAACCUCGGAACUGCAUUUGAAACUGGCAGACUAGAGUACUGUAGAGGGGGUAGAAUUUCAGGUGUAGCGGUGAAAUGCGUAGAGAUCUGAAGGAAUACGGUGGCGAAGGCGGCCCCCUGGACAGAUACUGACACUCAGAUGCGAAAGCGU